rnacentral:tRNA from 1 species
GCCUGCGUGGUGAAAUCGGUAGACACGCUGGAUUCAAAAUCCAGUGACCUUGGUCGUGGCGGUUCGAGUCCGCCCGCAGGUA